rnacentral:lncRNA from 1 species
UUCUUCUUCUUCUUCUUCUUCUUCUUCUUCUUCUUCUUCUUCUUCUUCUUCUUCUUCUUCUUCUUCUUUCUCUUCUUCUUCUUCUCCUCCUCCUCCUCCUCUUCUUCCUCCUUCUCCUCCUCCUUAUUCUUCUUUUUCUCCCUCUUCCUCUUCUUCUUCGUCCUCCUCCCUUUCCAUCCUAUUCUUUCUUCUUCUCUUCCUCCUCCUCCUGCUCCUCCUCCUCAUUCAUUCUAUUCUUCCUCCUCCUCUUCUUCCUCUUCCUCCUCAUCCUCCCCAUUCUUCUUUUUGGAGGGAUGGUUCUGAAAUUUUACUUUAUUUUGGUAAUAUAGAGAGGGGAAUUUGAAUUCCGUUGUAACAUUCGUAGUCUGUGUCAGUGUGUUACUACCAUAACAGACCAAUUUUUGGGGUACUGGGUUUGACUCUAGGGAGAAAAUGAGUUGCUAUUUUGGGUGGAGGUGUUGCUAUUGGAUUUAGUUUUGGGGUGUUUGUUUUGUUAACAGUUUUAAGACAUUUUCUCCCUAUGCAGUCCAGGCUGGCCUCAAACUCUUCAACCUCCUCUCUCUUCCUCUUAAGUGCUGGGCUCAUAGGAUUGUACCACCACACAUACCUCAAAGAUAAACUUUGAGAAUAUCAAGUGUCAAAUGAAAGGUUAGUUUUGCAUAGUGUUUAUAUUUUAGAUUUAGCAAAUUAGGACUAAUACCUUCUGACCUUACAAAUCACAAAUCAUAAUUCAUCUUCUCUCUCCCCUGUGUGCUUCUUAGUUCUUCAUGGAAAAACUUAAAAUCAUCAACACAACCACAUGAUAUUGACAAGCCACCCUGGGCAAUCAUUUAGAAGCAUCUACCAAAUUAGGAUUUGGUUUCUAAAGUCUGUCAGUUGACAGUUUGUUGAUGAAGUAAUCCCCUCUGCAUUUAACUUCACAGUUCCUGUUGCUCUUCCACUUCCUCAUCCAAACUCUUCAGUUUCUCCUAUACAAAGGCUUUCGUCGCUCCCUAGUAGAAAGUAGCAUCAACAGCUUAUGCCCCUUUUCACGAAAUUCUUGCCUAUCAUUUGUUGCCUUUACUAAUGCUGAGAAUUUUACAAUCCAUGUUGAUUGACCCACCUGUUCAUUCAUGACAGAAUGUGUCUUUGUCUACUGUGUUCUUUGUUUACUAUAUACCCUCUGUUACUCCAGAAAUGGGAAAUACAGGCACACAUAUUUCUGUUCCUCUCUGCAACGGGAGCACAAUCCAAGAAGCGCAUUCUUCACUUUUGAAAACUGAACAUAACGAGAUCAGCUGGUAACUUUGUCACUUCGUCAAAAUCCCCAGAAUAAGCCAAUUCCAUCCUAACCCUUGUAUUUCCAGCACUACCACCCAACAUGUUCUUAGAGUGAAAUGAAUUUUAAAGUAUUUUUUCCCAGAAAAAUACCAAGAGCUAUGUAAAAAUAAAAAGCAAAGGUUUAGUUAGUCACAAGCUUUAAACUUAUGGCUAUAAGGAAUAUGUACCUGAUUUAAGAUUUUGAUGAGCCCCACACAGGCUUAUUUACUUGAAAACAUUUUGGUCAUUAAGUAUUUCUGUUUGUGUUUAUAAAAUUCAAAACUAUAUUUAACAAGCCUUUGCCAUAUCUCCAUGUUUUGACAGUAAGUGGUUUACGGCGCAGUCUUUUUAUCUUCUACAAAUAUACAAUCUUAUUUUCAAACUUGUUAUUUUGUAUUAUAAUUCCUAGGAGAUAUUUGGGAGUUCAAACUCCAAAUAUAUCGAUUUAAAUCAAUCUUCAUUAUCUUGCUUUAACUACUUAAUCACUGGUAUUUUUAGUACUAUUCUCUCAUAGAAAUCAUUUUUAAUCAAUUUUUGUGACUGCUAUACAAUCAAAUAUUACUUUCUCUUUCUCUUUUAUCUUUUAUUGAAAACAAAGCUUUAAACAAACUGGAUUUCCAGUUCCCAGGUGUUAAAACUCUUGGUUCUUUUCUUUUUAUUGUUAUUUAUAUGGAUUUAUCUAGAGUACCAAAAGAAAGUUAUAUUAAAAGAACAGUAUUAAAGAAUGUGCAUAAAGCAUUAUUUUUGUACUUAGAGUACAAUGUUUUGUAGAGCUAUAUGAUCUAGUUAUAUUAAGUAACAUUAUAUCAUUGGAUUAUUAGGAAAAUGAUUAUUGCUUUGAAAAAUACAAAUAUCCUGGUCAUAUGAUUUAGGGUCAUAAUUCAAAUGAAAUGAGAAAUGACACAAUUUUGUGAGAUUUUAGGAUGGUGAUAUGGCUUUAAUUGAGUUUUCAAGUUCCGUAAUAAAGUUUUAGAAAUUA